rnacentral:tRNA from 1 species
GCGGACGUGGCGGAACUGGAUAUACGCGCCAGCUUGAGGUGCUGGUGGGCGAAAGCCUGUGGAGGUUCGAAUCCUCUCGUCCGCA